UACGUAGGGGGCAAGCGUUGUCCGGAUUUAUUGGGCGUAAAGAGCGUGUAGGCGGCCAGGCAGGUCCGUUGUGAAAACUCGAGGCUCAACCUCGAGACGUCGAUGGAAACCGUCUGGCUAGAGUCCGGAAGAGGAGAGUGGAAUUCCUGGUGUAGCGGUGAAAUGCGCAGAUAUCAGGAAGAACACCCGUGGCGAAAGCGGCUCUCUGGAACGGUACUGACGCUGAGACGCGAAAGCGUGGGGAGCGAACAGG
rnacentral:rRNA from 1 species